CCUACGGGAGGCAGCAGUGAGGAAUAUUGGUCAAUGGACGAGAGUCUGAACCCGCCAAGUAGCGUGAAGGAUGACUGCCCUAUGGGUUGUAAACUUCUUUUAUAUGGGAAUAAAAUGUUCCACGUGUGGGAUUUUGUAUGUACCAUAUGAAUAAGGAUCGGCUAACUCCGUGCCAGCAGCCGCGGUAAUACGGAGGAUCCGAGCGUUAUCCGGAUUUAUUGGGUUUAAAGGGAGCGUAGGUGGAUUGUUAAGUCAGUUGUGAAAGUUUGCGGCUCAACCGUAAAAUUGCAGUUGAAACUGGCAGUCUUGAGUACAGUAGAGGUGGGCGGAAUUCGUGGUGUAGCGGUGAAAUGCUUAGAUAUCACGAAGAACUCCGAUUGCGAAGGCAGUUCACUGGACUGCAACUGACACUGAGGCUCGAAAGUGUGGGUAUCAAACAGGAUUAGAUACCCGAGUAGUC
rnacentral:rRNA from 1 species